rnacentral:rRNA from 1 species
CUACUUAGGGGUUGCCCCUGUUAGCGCGACGAGUGAAGCGGCAAGAGCUCAGAUUUGAAAUCGUGUUUCGGCACGAGUUGUAGAGUGUAGGCGGGAGUCUCUGUGGAGCGCGGUGUCCAAGUCCCUUGGAACAGGGUGCCUGAGAGGGUGAGAGCCCCGUAGGGUGCUGCGCGAAGCUUUUGAGGCCCUGCUGACGAGUCGAGUUGUUUGGGAAUGCAGCUCCAAGCGGGUGGUAAAUUCCAUCUAAGGCUAAAUAUUGGCGAGAGACCGAUAGCGAACAAGUACUGUGAAGGAAAGAUGAAAAGCACUUUGAAAAGAGAGUGAAACAGCACGUGAAAUUGUUGAAAGGGAAGGGUAUUGGGCUCGACAUGGGGGGUGCGCACCGCUGUCUCUUGUAGGCGGCGCUCUGGGCGCCCUCUGGGCCAGCAUCGGUUCCUGCUGCGGGAGAAGGGGCUCCGGAAAGUGGCUCUUCGGAGUGUUAUAGCCGGGGCCAGAUGCCGCGUGUGGGGACCGAGGACUGCGGCUUCUGUCUCGGAUGCUGGCAUAACGGCGCAAUACCGCCCGUCUUGAAACACGGACCAU